rnacentral:lncRNA from 1 species
GAAAAUGGAAGAAGUGCUGAGACACUGGAGUCUACCCUGAAAGAUAAAGCUUCACCUGAGGAGAUCUGCAAAUUAGUAGCUUUUUGCCAGAAGGCAUUCUCCAGUCUAUGCAGCUCAAGUAAUAGAAGGCUACAGCCUUGGUGGAAUGACUUGAGGGAACAGGGGACUGAGUCUAGGACCAUCAGAUCAGCCAAUAAGAUACCAAUAGAAAAUCUGAAGUUGAACACCACAAUAAGUGAAAUAAAAAAUUCACCUGGAAAACACACAUACUUUGCAACUGCAAAUGGAACUCUCACGACAUACCCUUUUGCUGGGCCAUUAAAACAAAACAAAAUAAUUUAAUACAAUUUGAAAUCAUAAAAGAUACAUUCUCCGGACCACAAUCUGUAAACGUGAAGACUAAGUAAUACAAGUUAUUCAAUCUUAAAAACAAAGAGGAAAAAAGAUUUAAGAAAUAUAAACAGAAUCUCAGAGAUCAGUGAGAUAUAGCACAAAUUUCAAUGCAUGUGUAACUACAGUACCAAAAGGAGAGGAUGAAAAAUAGGGUGGGAAAUAACAAUCUUCCCAUUUCACAGACAGUAUCAGCUUAUAGGUUUGGAAAGCUCAACAAACGUCAAGCAGAAUAAACAUAAAGAAAGCUAGACCCAGGCACCAUGCAGUCAAAUUGCUGUAAUCAAAAGAUAAAAACCACAAUCUUGAGUAAAAUUCCUGACAGCAUUCAGACAAAAUCAACACAUUAUAUAGAGAGGACAAUGAAAUGAAUGAUUACAAGAGAGGCCAAUAAAAAUGGAAACCUAUAAAGAGCUGGAGGUAGAAGAAGGCAACUGUUAGACAAGAAGAAUACAAUCACAUCAACCACCAUUUGAAAACAAAGAUGAGACAAAUACUUUUAGAAAAGCAAAGACUGAGAAAAAUCCAUCACUAGUAAACCUGUAUUACAAGAAAUGUAAAAUAAGUUUGUAAGACUGACAGGACACAAAAUGGGAAAGAAGAGACACAGACAUGCAGAGAAAACACAGGGAAGAAGGCCACAUGGGAUGAAGGCAGAGAAGGGAAUGAUGCAGCUACAAGCCAGCUACAAGCCAAGGAAUGCCAUGGACUGCUGGCAACCACUAGAAAGAAGCUGGAAGAGGCAAGGAAGGAUUCUUCCGUGAUGCCUUCAGAGGAAAAUGGCCCUGCAAACACCUUGAUCUUGGACUUCUGACCUCCAGAACUAAGAGAAUACAUUUCUGUUGUUUUAAGUUAACCAGUUUGUGGCAAUUUGUUACAG